rnacentral:rRNA from 1 species
AUGGCAGGGGAGCAUUUUGUGCUUGUUCAUGGGGAAGGUCAUGGAGGGUGGUGCUGGUUCAAGCUCCGGUGGCUCCUUGAGGGCUCCGGCUACCAGGUGACCUGCAUAGACCUUGCUGGAAGUGGCGUAGACCCCACCGACCCCAACACUGUCCGGUCAUUCGACCAGUAUGACAAGCCGCUCCUGCGCCUCAUCUCCGCCUUGCCGGAGGGCGAGAAGGUGAUUCUCAUUGGGCAUGGCAGUGGAGGGCUGAGUGUGAUUCACGCAAUGCAUGAAUUCGUUGACAGAAUUAAGCAAGCAAUAUUUGUGGCAGCUGCUAUGCUGCCAUUUGGACUUCAGACUGAUGAAGAUAAGAAAGAUGGCUUACCAAGUUUGCCUGAGAAUGAGACCGAGUUGACAUUCGGUGCAGGAGCAGAUGAUCCUCCAACUACUGUCGCCUUGAGAUUAGAAUUCCAGCGUGAUCGACUAUCACAGCAAAGCCCUGAGGAGGAGUCAAUACUGGCUUCAAUGCUGAUGCGCCCAUGGCCUGCAAGUGCUAUUGGUACUGCAAGCUUUGAAGGAGCUGAUGAGAGAUUGAAUCGAAUAAAGCGGGUUUUCAUAAAGACACAGCGUGACCUCAUGCUGGACCCUCAGCAGCAAGAUUCCAUGAUCAAGAAGUGGCCACCCAGCGAGGUUUUGGUCAUAGAUACAGACCACAGCCCCUUCUUCUCUGCACCAGAACAGCUCUUUAACCUAAUAGUCAAAUCUCUAUGA